AGAGGACCUCCGCCAAGACCUCUCUCCGGGGUGGACCACGCACGCCCAGACCCCACAGCCGAAACUCAAAACACCAAGGAACAUGUGGCCACGACAUGGACUGCCCAUGCCAGCUUUCCCGACCUUCCUUCCAGUGGAAGGCCCGCGAAAGCGGGGACCACCUCCGGGCUAGCUCACCAGAACUGUGAAAGGACACUCACCACGCACCAGGCGACGAUGCCGGAACGCGGAAGUACGCGAGCCGGACUGCCCCUGGGCACGGAACUACACUACCCAGACUGCCACGGGGCGCGCAACUACCCUACCGUGGAUGCCCUGGAGCGAGGGACUACAACAUCCAGAAUGCUGCGAGGGGCGGGACCGCAGCAUCCAGGAGAAAUUGUGAAAAAUCAGAAAGUAAAAUCUAACUUUCGGGUCUAUGAGAAGGGUGGUCAGAUGGUGGAUUGGAAACAGUGUCAGCAUGACUCUCCCACUUGGAAAGACAAAAUGGUGAUCCUACCAUGCCCAUGCCGGAGUGUGCACAGGGACCGCUUCUCCAGCACUCAGCAGUCUGACUGGUUUCAUUUCCUCUCAUCUUACUGCUUGCUAGUAACUCUUCUUGGAUGGAAAAAAAGACAUGGUUGAAUAUGCAUCUUCCUCUAGUCCACUGCAUAUAACUCAUUGUUCUCAGCAAUCCAGGUUUACCUCUUCAAAUUUAUGCAGAACUGCAAAAAAUCAUUUUCUCUGAAGUAACUGCUUCUGUCAUUUUCAGCCAAUUUUGGCCUCAAAGCUAAAAAUACGUUGCUUGGUCAUUGCUAUUUGUCCUUCCUUCCAUGGGGCAGUAAGCUAAGACUUUUAGCCUAAUUCUCAUGAUGGAACAACUUCAAAGAAAAGGGAAAAACAAACUGCUUUAUUAAAAUGUACCAUUAUGGUCAGGACUUCAGUAGUGAGGAAGGCAGUGUGUGCGUAAUAAACAGGGAAGUAUAUGUGAACAC
ensembl:lncRNA LINC02603 long intergenic non-protein coding RNA 2603